rnacentral:lncRNA from 1 species
AGGAAUCAAGAUGGCCGCCUGGGACCGCUCUCAGCCCCUUCGGCCUCUACCUGAAGAGCCACGCCCCGUCUGCUACACCCAACUGAUUGGUUCCUCAAUCACAGAGAGGAAAGGCAACAUGAGGAUGACGUCAGUUACAAAUAUGGCGUUUUGGACGGGCUCGAUAGUUUGCUUGGCCUCUACUCAAGGAAUGCUGAUGGUAUAGCAAGAAGGUAUUCUGAGCAUUAUAUCAAUGGGGAAGUUCUAGAUCUUUUGCAAAGCAGGAGCAAGCUGCCCUGUUGUGAGCUCUCCGGUGGAGAGCCCCACAUGGCAAGAAAAUGAGAAGCCCCCUGAACAGACAAGAGCUGAGGCCCAGGAUACAAUAUCCUGAAAAAAACUGAAUCCUGCUGACAGUUGCCCAAGUGAAGCUGGAAGUGGAUCUUUCUGCAGUGGAUCCUUGAGAUGACUGUAGCCCUGGCUGACAACUUGAUUGCUGCCUGUGAAGGACCCUGAACCAGAGGACUCAGCGAAAUUGUGCCCAGAUUCCUGACCUACAGAGGCAGUGAGAUAAUAAAUGCUGUUGAGGUCACAAAGUUUUGAGGUAUUUGUUAAUACAGCAAUGGAUACUUAAUACAGCUUCCUACAUGGUCUCCCUCCUUCGACCUUUACACUACAAUCUGUCGUCCACACAGCAGUCAGAGAUCCUUUUAAAACAUAAGUCAGAUCAUCAUGACACUCACCUCCCUGCUAAGUGUCCUGCAAGGCCUUUCACGGUCUGAUCCCCUAUCCUUUCUCUUUCCUCAUCUCCUAUCACUCUUGCCCUUGCAAAUUUUCUUCCAGCACUCUGGCCUCCUUGCUGUUCUUCAGUAUGGCAAGCAACCUGCUGCCCGGAGCCCACACACUGACUGUCCCCUCUCCUAGGACACUCUUCCCUCAAGGGCUCCCAUAUCUUGCCUGCUGGCUCCUGCAUCUUCUUCAAGUCUGCUCAAAUGUCACCUUCUCAGUGAGGCCCAUCCUGGCUAUCCUCUUUCAGUUCUGACAGAAAAUAAUUUAUUGCUUUAUUACAUCAUUAUUUUGUUGUCUUCCCUCCGUCUGUUCCUACUAAAAUUUAAUCUCUGAGAAAGCAGAAAACGUUGUCUUGUUCUUUCCUGUAACCCAAGUGCCUUGAACAUUGCCUCAUUAAUUGCUUGCGCUCAGUAAUAUGUGUUGAAUAAAUGGGUUAAGUAGUUUAUUAAUUGUGAAACUAAAUCCUGUCUGAAAGGUUUGGAGCAGCUUGUUGAAAUAGCAAAUGGAGAUUCUGUGUUUUAAGUUGUGGCUAAGGUAGAAUCAUCCAUGAUGUAUGUGGAGCCAGCUCCUGUGUCCUGGACUUAAACAUCUGUAUCUGACGUGUGGGUAAUUAUAUUGCUAUCCUACACCUUUGACCCAUUCAUCUCGGCUCACCUGUGAUCCAGGCUAUGCUACUAAAGUUGGGUGAGAGAGUCUGCAACACAAGGAAAACAUAGAGCCAUCAUUUAGUAAAUCAAACCCAUAAUAAUACAUUUUGUUGUUAAAUGUAGCCAAUCUCUGAGUAUUUUUUAUUAAAGUAUCUCUAAUGUUUAAAAACAUCUAACACAUUCAUCAUGUUUCAACUGUCCUCAGCCCCUGCUUGGCUUCCCUCCUGUAUGUGUCAGUGCCCAAAGUCCGGAAGGGGCCAAGGUGGCAGGGGUCUGGCGUGUCAGUGCCAACCUCAGUGUGUGCCCACCUGGCUGGGCUGUGACAGUGCCCGGGUUCGGCCCCAACCUUGCUUCAUGAUUGGAGCGGGCACUGGGAGCAGGGAGAGGCCAGGCAGUGGGAGCAGACACUUCGCAGGGGGGCCUUCCUGGGCCCCCAAGAGCACAGAGAUGCCUGGGUUUGCAGCCGGGCCUGGGCAGCUGCAGUGGCACCUGGGGAGGGCAGGGCUUCUGCCUGUUCCAUGGAGUGUACAACCCCAGCCGUGCCUCCCUGCUGCAGCCGAUGUCUUGGCAGUGGCCACUCUAGAUGGGUCACUGCUGCCACCAAUAUGACAUUAAUGAAGUAGACUUAAAGUUUUCAGGGGAUUUAAUUAAUCAUGAUUUUAAGUGGUGCUAAUGUUUCUGGAAAUUUAAUCUCUUAGACUUGACUUAUUUGAACAUUCAUCAUAGAGCAAGCUAAAGUUAUUGUUUCUAAUUUACAUAAAAAUUACUACCUAUAAAACAGAAUAAUAACUUUACAAGUUGAAAUAAAAGGUUUAAGAAAAUCUAGGUUUUUAAACAUAAGACUUUAAAAAUUAAAUAUUAUUUUAAUGGCUAGUAACUGUUGAUAGUCCAUUUGUGCACAACAACCCCCCUUGGGCAUUUGAAAAUAAAAAUCUCUACUGACCAUUUUGAAAGAAUGAGUUUGAGGAUACAUCCACAGGUUGGAGCUUCAGCAUGAGCAGGACAUGGAGAGCCCAGGAAACUUGAGCGAAAUCAUAGGGUCACAUCUGAAGAAGAAGUUGAUUACAUUCAAUUCUGGUCACCUGGCCCAUUAGUGGUGGCAUCAGACCCAGAAGAGGCAUCUGGAGGGGAGUUAGUGUGCAUCAAUUUUAGCAAUGAGUUAUAGAGUCUCUCAAUAACUGUGGCUUAAACAUUUAUUUUCCUCUUUUGUGGGGGUCCUGAGCUGGCCUGGUCCCUCAGCUCAGGGACCCAGCUUACUCUCCCUACAUCCCUAACAUCCAUGAGGUGGCUCUUAUUCUCAUUACUUCAGGCCUACAGAUCCUGCCCUUACACUUUGCAGCAGGAUAAAGGAAAAGGGCAAAAGAUGGGUGUCCACUGUUCUCUCAGGAAGAGUCUUGGUUGCCAUAUCAGGACACUUCUGCUUCCUUUCCGUUGGCCAGAACUCAGCCUCAUUACCAAACCUACAAGCAAUGCUGGGAAAUUGAGUCUCCACUUCUGGUGGCUAUGAGCCUUGCUAAAAAUCAGAUAUUCUAGAACUAUUACUAUGGAAAAAAGCAAAAGUAAAUAUCAGGAAAUGGGUACUUACUACUUACACAUGUUAUGUGGGCAGCAGCAAGCUAUAGGAUGUGAAAUUUUAAAUCUUAAGACUUUAUAUGGAAAUGGCACAGUUGAAAUAGGAUGGAAAUGAUAGUCAUAAGUAGUCACUGAAAUCUAUACAGGAAAACAUAGGCUUGUUCCUGCAAUGUCACAAAACACCAGCUGGGGAUUUUGUUCAAAACCCCAAAAAUGUCAUUUUAGGGCAGAUAAGUGUUCUUUUAGAAACAGCAUUUUAGAAACAAUCAAAAAACCGCCAAACUGAGGAACAAAUUAGCCUAUGAGGAGGUAUACAUGGAAAGUAUAAAUUGGGUCUAAACCUUUUUCUCUCUUUCUGUUUCUUUCUUUGUUUCUUUGUUUGUUCUUUCUUUCUUUCUUUCUUUUCCUUUCUUUCCUUUUCUUUCUUUCUCUUUCUUUCUUUCCUUCCUUCCUUCCUUCCUUCCUUCCUUCCUUCCUUCCUUUCCUUUCCUUUCCUUUCUUUCUUUCUUUCUUCCUUUCUUUUCUUGCGAUUUUCCUGCCUCAGCCUCCCGAGUAGCUGCUAUUACGGGGGCCUGCCACCAUGCCUGGCUAAUUUUUUUUUUUUUUUUUGUAUUUUUUAGUUGAGACAGGGUUUCAGUACGUUGGCCAGGCUGGUCUCGAACUCCUGACCUUGUGAUCCGCCUGCCUCGGCCUCCCAAAGUGCUGGGAUUAGAGACAUGAGCCACCAUGCCCGGCCCUAAAACUUUUUCAUAUGCAUACAUAUUUUUUGAGAUGGAGUCUCACUCUGUCACCCAGGCUGGAGUGCAGUGGCACAGUCUUGGCUCGCUGCAACCUCUGCCUCCUGGGUUCAAGCGAUUCUCCUGCUGGGAUUACAGGCGUGCACCACCAUGCUUGGGUAGUUUUUGCAUUUUUAGUAGAGUCGGGGUUUCACCAUGUUGGCUAGGCUGGUCUCAAACUCCUGACCUCAAGUGAUCUGCCCACCUCAGCCUCCCAAAGUGCUGGGAUUACAGGCAUGAGCCACUGCACCCAGCCAAGUAUCUUUUUUUUUCUUUUUCUCUUCUUUUCUUUUUUUCUGAUGGAGUCUCACUCUGUUGCCCAGGCUGGAGUACAGUGGCUUGAUCUCAGUUCACUGCAACCUCCCCCUCCCAGGUUCAAGCGAUGCCCCUGCCUCAGCCUCCCAAGUAACUGGGAUUACAGGAAGCCACCACCACCCCAGCUAAUUUUUGGAUUUUUAGUAGAGUCUGGGUUUUGCCAUGUUGGCCAGGCUGAUCUUGAGCUCCUGACCUCAGGUGAUCUGCCCGUCUUGACCUCCCAAAGUGCUGGGAUUACAGGCGUGAGCCACCGUGCUCCGCCUAAAGCUUUUUCAUAAUUUAAUCAAUGGCAUAUUCCUAGGAGAAACCAUAAAACGUUAAAAUAAACUGCUUUGCUUACACAGAAAACAGCCUUCUUGUAUAAAAUCCUGGGCUGGAAGUUCUUGUCAACAGGUUACCCUUCUAUUUUUUAUUUUUUAUUUUUUUUUGAGACAGAGGCUCACUCUGUCACCAGGCUGGAGUGCAGUGGCAUGAUCUCAGCUCACUGCAACCUCCACCUCCCAGGCUCAAGGUAUCCUCCCACCUCAGCCUCACAAGUAGCUGGGACUACAGGUACAGCCACCAUGCCUGGCUAAUUUUUUUGGGGGUAUUUUUUUGUAGAGACGAGGUCUUGCCAUGUUGCCUAGGCUGGUUUCAAAUUCCUGGGCUCAAGCAAUCUGCCUGCCUAAGCCUCCCAAAGUGCUAAGAUUACAGGCAUGAACCACUUCGUAACCACCAUCCAGACCAAAAUACAGAACAUUUCUGUGGCCGAAUUAAGUUCCCUCUUUCUUCUUAACUUCAUUUCCUGGAGUCUACCACUAUUGUGCCUCUAUAUCACCAUAGAUUCCUCUUGUUUAUUCUUGGCCUUCAUAUAAAUUGUAUCAUACAGUAUGUAUUCUUUUGGGUCUGAUUUUUUCAGCUCAACAUUAUGUCUGUGAGAGUCAUCCAUGUUAUUCUAGGUAUUAGGAGUUCAAUCCUUUUUAUUGCUCAGUAGUAUUCCAUUGCAUGAGUGUAACACAAUUUUUUUUUUUUUGAGAUGGGUUCUCACUCUGUCCUCCAGGCUGGAGUGCAGUGGUGCAAUCAUGGAUCACUACAGCCUCGACCUCCUGGGCUCCAAGUAACCCUCCUGCCUCAGCCUUCCAAGGAGCUGGGACUACAGGCACACAUCACCACACCUGGCCAUUUUUUUUUUUUUUUUUGGUAGAGCGGGGGUCUCACUAGGUUGCCUCCCCAAGUGCUGGGAUUACAGAUAUGAGCCACCACGCAUGGCCCAGAUGUAAAGUUCUAUCAACUUCAUCAUCAUCUUUUUUUUUUAAUUAUACUUUAAGUUCUAGGGUACAUGUGCACAACGUGUAGGUUUAUUACAUAUGUAUACAUGUGCCAUGUUGGUGUGCUACACCCAUUAACUCGUCAUUUACAUUAGGUAUAUCUCCUAAUGCUAUCCCUCCCCACUCCCCCCACCCCACAACAGGCCCCGGUGUGUGAUGUUCCCCUUCCUGUGUCCAAGUGUUCUCAUUGUUCAAUUCCCACCUAUGAGUGAGAACACGCGGUGUCUGGUUUUCUGUCCUUGCGAUAGUUUGCUGAGAAUGAUGGUUUCCAGCUUCAUCCAUAUCCCUACAAAGGACAUGAACUCAUCCUUUUUAUGGCUGCAUAGUAUUCCAUAGUGUAUAUGUGCCACAUUUUCUUAAUCCAGUCCAUCAUUGAUGGACAUUUGGGUUGGUUCCAAGUCUUUGGCUAUUGUGAAUAGUGCCACAAUAAACAUACGUGUGCAUGUGUUUUUAUAGCAGCAUGAUUUAUAAUCCUUUGGGUAUAUACCCAGUAAUGGGAUGGCUGGGUUAAAUGGUAUUUCUAGUUCUAGAUCCUUGAGGAAUUGCCACACUGUCUUCCACAAUGGUUGAACUAGUUUGCAGUCCCACCAACAGUGUAAAAGUGUUCCUAUUUCUCCACAUCCUCUCCAGCACCUGUUGUUUCCUGACUUUUUAAUGAUCGCCAUUGUAACUGGUGUGAAAUAGUAUCUCAUUGUGGUUUUGAUUUGCAUUUGUCUGAUGGCCAGUGAUGAUGAGCAUUUUUUCAUGUGUCUAUUGGCUAUUUCCUUUAGAGGCUACUGAGUCACUUCAUUCUGGCUGGUCCCCUCUACACCUUCAUCACCAUCCUGGAGAUUUCCUUCCCAUUUUCUCCCAUAUUGGAUCUCCUUUUUUUCUGGAGUCGAUGCCUUUUGUUUCCUUGGUUUAGUCUCUUCUUUUGGUGGAACACACCUUCCAGUUAGCUCCCUGUAAAAGGAAGCUGUCAGAAAAUGUCUCUCUUCUAUUCUCAUACCUAAUUGAUCAUUUUUGGCUGGAUACAGAACUCUAGCUCAAACAUGAUUUUCCCUCAGAAUUUUGAAGGCAUUACUCCAUUGGCUUCUUGCUUCCAGAGUUAUUGUUGAGAAAACUAAAUCCAUUCUCAUCUUGAUCAUUUGUAUGUGGCCUGUUUUUUUUUUCUCCCUCUCUGAAAGUUUAUAAGGGGUAUUCUUUUUCUUUUUAAUGUUCUGAACUUUUAUAGCAUUGUACAUUGGUGUAAAGUAAUUUUUAUUUAUUGGGCUGGGCCCUUUCAAUCAUGUCCAUAUCCUUCUGGUCAGGGUAAAAUUUUCCAUGUAUUUCAUGGGUGAUUCUUCUUUUUGAAACUUGUGUUAUUCAGAUGGGGGUUUUGGUGGGCUAGUCUUAGAAUUUUGUCUUCUUACUCUUUUUCCCAUUUCUUUGUGUUUUUUCUUUCCUUUCUGAGGGUUUGCCUCAAUGCUAUCUUUCAACCCUUCUAGCGAGUUCUUAAUGUCUGCUAUCAUGUUUUAAAUUUCCAAGAACUGUUUCUUUGUUCUGAAUAUCUCAUCUUUCCUUUAAAAAAAAUUGUUUCUGAGCUAGAUGUGGUGGGGUGUGCCUGUAGUUCCAGCUACUUGGGAGGCUGAAGUGGGAGGCUUGGGCCCAGGUUUUCAAGGCCAGCAUGAGCAACAUAGCAAGAUCCUGUCUUAAAAAAAAAAAAAAAGAAAAAGAAAAAAAUUGUUUCUAUUUCAUUGAUGCAGUGUCCCUUAUUUUUCUUAUAAUAUUAAUGAGUUUCUUUUUUUUGUUUAAAAUAUUUUUUUCCUUGCAUAGUUUCUGUUUCUGCCAAUUCAUUUUUUCUUUUAGUUUGUUAGGCUCUUUAUCCAUAUAAUCUAGCUAAUGGGUUUUGGCAGGCUAAUGAAUAUAUAAAUUUGGAGUCAAGGGAAGAGGUUGGAGAAUAAAAAUUUUAUCCAACUCAGAGAGCUGUUAUAAAAAUUAAGUGAUGUAAUGCAUAUAAUUUGCUUAGCACAGGUCUGGAAUAUAGUAAGCAUUCAAAUGUUAGAUGUUAUUUUUUAUUUUAUUAUUUAAUGGCUGCAUCAUACUCUUUUAGCAUAGCAUAUAGAUGAACAUAAUUCACCUCGCCAUUCCUCUACUGCUAUUGAAGAUCGGGCUUACUUUUUCACUUUUUACUAUUAUAUAAAUAGGGAUUGGUAUUUUUCUGAAAGCAGCUUUAGUCACAUAUUUUUAAACUUUCAUUAUGUAAUAUAUAUUUUUUUGAGACAGGAUUUUGAUCUGUUACCCAGGCUGGAGCACAGUGGCACGAUCAUAGCUUACUGCAGCCUUGACUUCCCAGGCUCAAUCUGUUCUCCUUCCUCAGCCUUCUGGUUAAGCUGGGACUACAGGCACGUGACCCACACCCAACUAAUUAAUUUUUUUUUUUUUUUUUUUUUUUUUUUUGUAGAGGUAGGGUUUCUUUAUGUUGCCUAGGCUGGUCUCAAACUCCUGAGCUCAAGCAAUUCUCCUGUCUUGGCCUUCCAAAGUACUGGUAUUACAGGUGUGAGUUACCGUGCCCAGACUCAUUAUGGAAUUUUCAAUCAUGUACAAAAGUAAAGAAAAUGGUAUAAUAAACUCCUGCAUACCCAUUAUUUAGUUUCAACAAUAGCCAUUUUUGGUCAAGUAUCCAAAGAUGUUCAUGUUUAAUGGGCCAUCUUGUUUUAUCUAUAGUAUAUGGAUUCUAUACCAGUGCUGUCUAAUAAAAAUAUAAUGUAAACUACAAAGGAAAACCAUGUUUGUAAUUUAAAACCUAACUUAAUGUAACCUAAAAUGUUCUAGUAGCUACAUUUGAAAAAUAUGAAAGAAAGAAGUGAAAUUUAUUUAUUUAUUUAUUUAAGACAGGGUCUUACUCUAUUGCCCAGGCUGGAGUGUAGUGGUGCAAUCAUAGUUUGUUGAAGCAUCAAAUUCCUGGACUCAACCGAUCUUCCAGCCUCAGCCUCAUGAGUAGCUAGGACUAUAGGCAUGUGCCAACAGGCCUGCUAAUUUUUAAAGUUUUUGUACAGACAGAGUCUCCCUGUGUUGCCCAAGCUGGUCUGGAACUCCUGGCCUUAAGUGAUCCUCCCAUCUCACCUCAGCCUCCCAAAGUGCUGAGAUUAUAAGUGUGAGCCAUUGUGCCUGGCCUGUGAAAUUAAUUUUAAUAAUACAUUUUAUUUUACUCAAUGUAUCCAAAAUAUUGUUUUAAUAUAUAACCAGUUUCCAAGUUAUUAAUGACAUAUUUUAAUUUUUUUGGUACUAAGUCUUCAAAAUCUAGUGUGUACUUUACAUUCAUUGCAUAUCUCAACUGGACUAGCUCAAUAGCCAUAUGUGCCUAGUGGCUCCCCUAUGAGAAAAUGUGAAUAUGCUCACCAAACAGGAUUAAUGUGAAGCAGAUCCCAGACAUUAUAUCAGUGUAUCCAUAAAUAUUUCAAUAUGUAUCUGUAAUAACAAUGUCCGUAUUUUUAAAAAAGGUUUCCUUAGAAUUAAUUUUUAGAAAUACGGUUGUUGGAUUGAGGAAUGUGCACUUUUAAAAUCUUGCAGCAUAUUAUAGCUACUUUUUCGGAACGUUAGAUUAAUUUACACUCCUUUCUGGAGUGUGUGAUGGAGCCCAUGUCACCCUCAUAGAGUGUAUUUGGAUCCCUGACCAUGGUUCUGAAAUCUACAGAAAGGCAGUAAGACUUCCUCUCUGUUGUGAGAGGUCAAAUUUUGUUUUGUUUUGUUUUAAUGGCUUAAAACAAGUUUUAUUCUCUUACAGUUCUAAAGGUCAGAAGUCUGAAUUCAGUUUUACUGGGCUAAAGUCAACGUUUUGGCUUUUAGAGGUUCCUUUUGGAGACUCUGAGGGGAUAAUUUGUUUCCUUGCUUUUUCAGCUUCUCAUGGCCACCUAUGUUCCUUGACUUGCCCCUUCCUCCAUCUUUCAAGUGCAUCAUCCCAAUCUUUACUUGUAUUCAUCACACCGCCUUUUCAUCUGUGAGAAGUCAAGUUCUAGUGAUGAUUCAGAGGUGACUUUUAAGCAGAUAAGAGCAAAGGGACACAAGCAGGAACCUGCCAGACAUAGUGGUGUGUACAUGUAGUCCCAGCUACUUGGGAGGCUGAGAAGGAAGGAUUGCAUGAGCCCAGGGGUUCAAGUCCAGCCUCAGCAACAUAGACCCCAUCUCUAAAAUAAAUGAAUAAAUAAAUAAAUAAAAUAAAAUAAAAUAAAAACAUGGGCUUCUUGGAACUCUACUUUUAUUUAGAAAAGAAGAAAGCAGAUGACAGAAGAUAGAGGGAGGUAACAAUAACAAGAGAGACAGACUUCUGGGUAAAAAUGGCUGAUAAAACACAAACUGAUAUCUAAGUGCAUAUCUUCCUGAUGCCUGACUAGAACAACAGUGGGGGCUGUCCUUAAAUACUUGCCUUGUUUUCUUUCUUUCUUUUCUUUUCUUUUCUUUUCUUUCUUUUUCUUUUUCUUUUCUUUUCUUUUUUUUUUGAGAUGGAGUCUCCCUCUGUUGCCCAGGCUCGAGUGCAGUGGCACAAUCUCGGCUCACUGCAACCUCCGCCUCCUGGAUUCAAGCGAUUCUCCUGCCUCAGCCUUCCGAGAAGUUGGGAUUAUAGGCACCUGCCAUCCUGCCCAGCUAAUUAUUGUAUUUUUAGUAGAGAUGAAAUUUCACCAUGUUGGUCAGGCUGGUCUCGAACUGCUGAGCUCAGGUGAUCCACCCGCCUUGGCCUCCCAAAAUGCUGGGAUUACAGGCAUGAGCGAGCCACCACUCCUGGCACCUCGUUUGUUUUCUGUUUAAGGUGAGGGGAUAAAAAGCUGAUUGGAAGUUUUGAGUUAUUGAUUCAAGCUUCACUGUAGGAUAAUCUGACUAGCAAACUGCAAAUGCCAGCACAUUUGUGUCCUUUCUCCUGGACUUCUUGGAUUCCUCACAAAAGAAUCUUCCAAAGUCCUGACUAGAGGGUAGAGUUAACCUAGAACCUGGGAGUUGAUGGGGUUAGAGGCUUGGAGUCUAAACACUGAAUAUGCCUUGGUUUCCUUAAUCUUGUUGUUUUGGUAUGACACCUCCACCUGUAACUGUGCCUUGUGCCUUCCAGUUCCUGUGCUUGGGUUAGGAAGAGGCAGUCACUCAUCAGCAAAGAGUAGAAGGUAUCUAGGAACCACUAUUCUUUUUUUUUUUUUCUUUUCGAGAAGGAGUCUUGCUCUGUCGCCCAGGCUGGAGUGCAGUGGUGCAAUCUCGGUUCACUGCAACCUCUGCCUCCCGCGUUCAAGCGAUUCUCCUGCCUCAGCUGCCUCAGUCUCCUUAGUAUCUGGGAUGACAGGUGCUCUACCACACCUGGCUAAUUUUUGUAUUUUUAGUAGAGACAGAGUUUCACCAUGUUGGCCAGGCUGGUCUUGAACUCCUGACCUCAUGAUCCACCCGCCUCAGCCUCCCAAAGUGCUGGGAUUACAGGCAUGAGCCACUGCACCUGGCCAGAAUCACUAUUCUUAAACAGCUUUAAUUAUCUUUAUUUUGUGCUUGCCAACCCAACUUGCAGCUGUACUUGAUGCCACAGAUUCCUGAGCUUUUUGAGAACACUGCUGUUUACAUUGGUUGAUUUUUUAUUUUCUCAUUGUUUUAGGAUUGUGCUUUCUUGGGUCUGCUAAGUCAGUUACCCCUGGUCCACCAUGCCAAAAUGUUUUUGUUGUUUUCUUUUCUUCUUUUCUCUCCAUGCUUAUGGAUAUGUGCUGGUAUAAACAGUUUUUGUUUUUUUAAGAAAAUAGUCUGGAUCUUAACCUUCCUCUUACUAAACCCUCUCUCCCUGCUAUAUUCACAUGUCAUUUAAUAGCAACUCUAUCCUUUCAGUCACUCAGGCAAAAAUAUUGGAAUAACUUUUAACCCCUCUUUUUCUCUCUCACUCCAUGUACAUUCAUCAGCAAACACUGUGGGCUCUACUUUCACAUAUAUCCGGGGUCUGACCAUUGCUCACAGCCUCUACUGCUACCAACCUGAUCCAAGCCAUCAGCAUUUCUCAUCUGGAUUAUUAAAAUCACCCACCAACUGGUUUUCCUGUUUCUGCUCUUGUCUCCUUUGUUUUUUAUCACUGUAACUAGAAACAGAAGCCAGAUACCCCUCCUUUGUUCAGAACUCUAAAUGGGGCCCCCUUGCACCAUCUACUCCGUCUUAACUCCCUUACCCUAUCUCCUCCAUCUUCCAGUCAUUUAUUCUGCUCCAAUCACAAUGGCCUUUGUAUUUGUGGUCUCUUUUGCUUAGAAUGCUCUUCCUCCAGAUAUUCAAAUGGCCGACUCCUUCACAUUUUCCAAGUGUUCGUUCAGACGUCACCUUAUCUGAAAAGACUUUUCUGACCUAAUGGCGUCCCCAUCUCAUGCUCCUGGCACUUUCCUUUCCCCUUACUUUUCUUUAUAUUUCUCCAGAUCACUUAUAAUCCCCUGUACAGUGUGUAUUUAGUUGGUUAGUGUCUGUCUCCCCCACUAGAACGUUGGCUCCCUGAAGGCAAGGACUUUGUCUACAUUGUUAAUUGGUGGAGUUAUGCCACCUACACAGGAUCUUACUCAGAGGAUGAAUUCAAUCAAUAUUAGUUGAAUGAACAAAUGAACAAGCAGUUGAAUUGAAUGGCUGUAUUAAAGGAAACUGAGGCAUAGAAAACUUAAGAUUUUUAGACAAAGAUCACACAACAAUGAACAGCAGAACUAGGAUGUGUGAACCAGGUUUUUGUGAUGUGAAAGCCUGAGUUCUUAAUCAUUUUGUUUGAUAUUUGGGAAUAAUUUUUAAUGAGAUCUGAAAAUGCUAAUGGUAUAAUGCUGUGAACGAAGGAAAUAUAAAAUUGUAAUUCCAGCAUGAUCUUAACUAUGUACAAAUAU